AGAGUUUGAUCCUGGCUCAGAAUCAACGCUGGCGGCGUGCCUCAGACAUGCAAGUCGAACGAGAAAGUUCCCUUCGGGGGAUGAGUAAAGUGGCGCACGGGUGAGUAACACGUAGGUAAUCUACCUUCGGGUGGGGAAUAACCCAGGGAAACUUGGGCUAACACCGCAUAAUGCAGCGGCACCACAUGGUGACAGUUGUUAAAGCGGGGGAUUUUAGGACCUCGCGCCUGAAGAGGAGCCUGCGGCGGAUUAGCUAGUUGGUAAGGUAACGGCUUACCAAGGCGACGAUCCGUAACCGGCCUGAGAGGGCGGUCGGUCACACUGACACUGACAUACGGGUCAGACUCCUACGGGAGGCAGCAGUCGGGAAUUUUGGGCAAUGGGCGAAAGCCUGACCCAGCAACGCCGCGUGAAGGAUGAAAUCCCUCGGGAUGUAAACUUCGCAAGAAUGGGAAGAAUUAGUAGGGGCUAAUACCCUCUAUGAUGACGGUACCAUUUGUAAGCUCCGGCUAACUCCGUGCCAGCAGCCGCGGUAAUACGGGGGGAGCAA
rnacentral:rRNA from 1 species